AAAGGCUUGCUCGCAGAAGAAUCCUGUUGCCGCGCGUCGUUCUUGCUGGCGGGACAUUGGGCGCGCGACAAAGUCCUUUCCUGCAUGAGAGCCAUGAUGUUUACUGCAAUGGAAUUUUCAAUGUGACAUGAGAGAUGCUCACAGCUGAUCAGAGCCAAAGAGCACAUAACUUUAUUUUCAACAUAGUAAGAACUGAAUCUCAUCUGCUGUGUUGGAUUCCAACAUGCUGCUGAGAACCUGGAAUCCUUGGAGAGUCACUAACAAUCAGUCUAUCUGGAUAGAAAGAAAGAAAAAAUAAUAAUCUGGUUCUCAUUGCGAAGAAUUGUGUCAGCAGUGCAAGAGAGGCAGUCGCCAACAAGGAGAGGAAGGAGGGAGAUAUUCUAUCAAGAGUGAGAAAACAGUAACCAGACAUCCUAAGCAUUCUGUUCAGCAAUAGGAACAUAUUUGAAAACAGUGUGAAAAUAAACGUGCUAUUGCAUCUACGUGAAGGUCAAGAGAACGACUUGGAGAAGUUGCUUGUACUUUCCUUCAACCCAGUGAGUCCUUGGGCUUGAACUCAAGUCAUUAAGCUCAACUGCAACUGCCUUUACCCACUGAGCCCUCUUGCCAGCCCAAUAUUCUCAUUUUAGGGGUCCCGGAUAGAAAGAAGUAAGAAAAAUUACCAUGAGUAGAAAGAGAAGAGGUGGUCAUGAGGCAGAAUGUCCAGUAGGAGCCUUGAGGAUCACGUUUCCAAUGACUUGGCCAUGAGGACAUACAUGGAGCAGAACAAUGUCAGGGACAUGUCCAAUCACAGUUGGACGGGAGUGUGGUAAGUGAUUCCAGGCUGCUACAGUGGGCAAGGCAUGCGUACUACAUGGUUCCAAAAAGACAACAGAGGGCAUAAAGAAGACAGGUCUGGGACACAAAACUGCAAGACUCAUAAAUGUUCUAGAACCUCCAGAAACUGUACUGCCUGCUGGGAAACAAAUGUUCAAACACAGGCAGGUGGCUCAGCCACUAAAAACAUUUCCCUGCUCUUCCAGAGAACCCUGAGUUUGGUUUCCAGAAUGAAAAUGGCUAUUCACAACUUUCCCUAACUCCAUCUAGUGGACCUGACACCUAUUUCUGGCCUCCACGGGCACUGCAUGCACACUAUAUGUAAAAAUAAAAGGAAAAUUUGAAAACUUU
rnacentral:sRNA from 1 species